rnacentral:rRNA from 1 species
GUGCCAGCCGCCGCGGUAAUACCGGCAGCCCGAGUGAUGGCCGAUCUUAUUGGGCCUAAAGCGUCCGUAGCUGGCUGCGCAAGUCCGUCGGGAAAUCCACUCGCCCAACGAGUGGGCGUCCGACGGAAACUGUUCGGCUUGGGGCCGGAGGACCCGAGGGGUACGUCCGGGGUAGGAGUGAAAUCCCGUAAUCCCGGACGGACUACCGAUGGCGAAAGCACUCUGAGAAGACGGCUUCGACAGUGAGGGACGAAAGCUCGGGUCUCAAACCGGAUUAGAAACCCCUGUAGUCC